rnacentral:pre_miRNA from 1 species
UUAGACAUCUCAGCACCAAAUAGCACGGCGCUGGAUAUACGUUGGCAUGCCGACUCAGCCUCCCAUCUGUAGUGGCACGGCAUUCAGCACCAGUUGACGUGACGCUGAGGUGUCUAAGUUG